CCGAAGUGUUGCCAAGGGCCGCGGUGGCCUCCCCAGGCCUUGAGUCACCAGGGCCGGCGCUGUCAGAACGAUCGCCGGCCGGCCCCGCGACCUCCGACGCGGCCACUGGAGGCAAAGGGGCCUUGAAGGAAGCGCAGCCGACCCACCUGUCAGGUGGCGGGGUGGAGAAAGCUUCCUCUGGCCGGUAACUUCCCGGGAACGUCCCUCUCCAACUGUCCCCACCGCAGAUCCGCGGCGUCCCAGACACACAAAGAGGGAUGGGCGGCGGCCGCUACGGCGAGAGCCCAGGGACAAACGGCUGCGCAGAGACGCGGUCGCUCACAGAAGCAGAGGCGCGGCGGCCUGGCGGGGAGGGGCGGAGUUACUUACCUUGUGUAAAGCCUAAGCUGACGGGUGAAACAGAUAUACACCGGCCGCAGGGCCCGAAGUGUUUCCGCUUUGGCAAAAGCUGGACAACUGCACCUCACAUCCUGGGGCGGAGCCCGCAACACCCCAGAGAACUACAAGUCCCGGCAACUAGGCGCAUUGCGUGGUUGUGGGAAUUGUGGUCCCCGAUAGAAGCAAGGAGCUGUGUUUGACCCGUAGAGAAACACCGACAGAAGGAAGGGUUUUCUCCCAACUCUGGAACCAUCUUAACUUUCCCAUUUCCUCUCAAGUGUCAAAAUAAGGUGAUGGUGAAUUAGGAGUCCUUUCCGAGCUGAGAAUACUUCUGUAAUCUGGUAACCUUUGGCAUGAAGCACAUAUCCUAGUGAAUGAUGGCGCACUUAAGAGUGAUUCACCACUGAACAUUACAGAAAAUGGGCCGAGGGGCUCAAAAAUUCAAGGCAA